rnacentral:rRNA from 1 species
GUGGGGAAUAUUGGGCAAUGGGGGAAACCCUGACCCAGCGACGCCGCGUGAGGGAAGACGGCCUUCGGGUUGUAAACCUCUUUUGUACGGGAAGAAGGAAGUGACGGUACUGUACGAAUAAGUCCCGGCUAACUACGUGCCAGCAGCCGCGGUAAUACGUAGGGGACGAGCGUUGUCCGGAAUUACUGGGCGUAAAGGGCGCGCAGGCUGUGCUGCAAGUCAGCUGUGAAAUGUCUGGGCUUAACCCGGGCAUGCGGUUGAGACUGCAGUGCUGGAGUGCUGUAGAGGCAAGUGGAAUUCCCAGUGUAGCGGUGAAAUGCGUAGAUAUUGGGAAGAACACCGGUGGCGAAGGCGACUUGCUGGGCAGCAACUGACGCUGAGGCGCGAAAGCCAGGGGAGCAAACGGGAUUAGAUACCCGGGUAGUCC